rnacentral:rRNA from 1 species
CGCGAAACUAAACGAGCUAAGUUAUAAUAAUUAUUAGAUUAAUAUAUGUAGCAUAAUUAAAAUAAAGAAUAACUUAGGAGUGAUAGGCCUUUCAAGUUUAGGGAUAUCUCGAUUCUUUAAAAAAACAUUAAGUGUAACUACAACUGAAUAGUGAUAAGGCUACUCAGAGGCACAAAUGAUUUAAUAACAAAUAUAUUAAAGUUUAAACGUUAAAUAUUUAUAGUUAUAAUAUUAAUUUAUAUAGUAUUGUGCACUAUAUAAAGAUCUUACUAAUAUAAUGAAAUGGCAAUAAUGUAACUAUUAGUAAAUAUUGAAAUUGUUAAAAAUGAACUCGGCAACAUACCUUUCGACUGUUUAUCAAAAACAUAGCCAUAUGUAAUUAUAUAUGGUACUUUCUGCUCAAUGAAAUUUAAAUAGCCGCAGUACCCUGACUGUGCAAAGGUAGCGUAAUAAUUUGACUUAUAAUUGAAGUCCGGUAUGAACGAAAUAUCGGGGGGUAUCUUUAUCUUUAAUAUAAAUUGAAAUUAUCUUAAAAGUGCAAAUGCUUUUAUAUAAAUGAUAGACGAGAAGACCCUAAAAAUUUUUAAAAACUGCAUCUUUUCUUUUUGUUGGGGCAACAAGGUAACAUGAAAUUUACCGUUAUAAACAAGAACAAUAUGUAAGUAAGAUUAAAUUACUUUAGGGAUAACAGCGUAAUUUGAGAAAGUUUGCGACCUCGAUGUUGGACUAGGGAACGAUUGUUUAGAA